rnacentral:rRNA from 1 species
CCUACGGGGGGCAGCAGUGAGGAAUAUUGGUCAAUGGGCGAGAGCCUGAACCAGCCAAGUCGCGUGAGGGAGUACUGCCCUAUGGGUUGUAAACCUCUUUUGUCGGGGAGCAAAAGCCGGACGUGUCCGGCUGUGAGAGUACCCGAAGAAAAAGCAUCGGCUAACUCCGUGCCAGCAGCCGCGGUAAUACGGAGGAUGCGAGCGUUAGCCGGAUUUAUUGGGUUUAAAGGGUGCGCAGGCGGAUUUUUAAGUCAGCGGUAAAAUCGGGGGGCUCAACCCCAUCCAGCCGUUGAAACUGGGGAUCUAGAGUGUGCGAGAGGUAUGCGGAAUGCGUGGUGUAGCGGUGAAAUGCAUAGAUAUCACGCAGAACCCCGAUUGCGAAGGCAGCAUACCGGUGCACAACUGACGCUCAGGCACGAAAGCGUGGGUAUCGAACAGGAUUAGAUACCCUUGUAGUC